rnacentral:lncRNA from 1 species
GGCUCUCAGACCUGCUGCCACGGCCCUCCUGCAGCAGGGCCGGGGUCCCCGUGGUGCCAUCCCUGCCUUGGUGUCUCCCCAGAAGGACGAGGGGCAGCAGGUGCCCAGGAGGUUGCACCCCUGAGAGACUCCGGGUUUUGGCCGGCGGUGGUGGGCUGUGGCUGUGUGGCCGUGGUGGUGGCGUUCCUGGCCGGACUCUGCGUGAGGAAAAGGUUUGCAGGCAACACAGCCCUGGAGAGGAUUGGAAACAGCAAGAGCAAAGCAGAGGAAGCACUUUACUGCUCAAUCCCUGGAGCUGAGAUACCCAAGGCUGAACAGGAUGCCAAGAAGAAGAGGAGAGCUGAGGACACCUACAUAACCAUGCACCCCUCCCACUGCCGGGAGAACGGAGUCUACGUGGAACUGUCCAAGAGGAUGAUCCCAACAGAAUGGAUGGGAGAGGAGAGACAAGGUGAUGGACAAAGCCAGGAGCCCCACAGCAGACCAGAGCAGCCACUUCCCCGGGCUCCAGAGCAGGAGAAAUAGCCGUGCUGGAAGACGAAGCCUCUUAGCCAGGUGUGUCCAAGACACCUUUGUCCCUUUGGGUGGCCAGAACUGGUGACACUUCACUGUGUGCUCCGUGCCAGGGCACUGCUGGGGCAUGGCCCACCCCAACUGUCUGCAGAGGACGAGGGGAGACCUGUCCCUCUUGCUCCCUGGUCUCUGGAGGGGGGGACAGUGGGCACAGCCUCCAUGCUCUAGCUUUAAGCCUGGUCCUGAGACAAGGAUCUCCAAGGGGGGAUAUGCAGCGGGGGCCAUUAUGGUAUUAUUCUGGAGAUAAUAAAACUCAGGGACUCUUCCCUGUUCCUGUCUUU